UCUAGUCUCUUAUCAUCUCGAAAUGUAAGAAUUUCCCUAUACAGACGACCUGUAAAUGUUUUUCGAGUAUCUUCAUUCUUCCCUCAUCCUACUGAUGUUUUAGAGAGGAAGAUACUCAGCAAAACAUUUACUGGUUACUUGUAUAGAAUCAAUAUAUGUAGUCCGUCACAACUCAAGCACAAUUUCAUCCUCUCCAGAUCCAUAAAGUACCAAAUCGAUCGUAUAGCUCAAUCGCCGUUUUUCAGUCUCUAAAAUUUCUCCUAGUUGUCAAAAGUUCGUACAGGUGACUUGUAAAUGUUUUGCGACCUUCUAAUAUGAUACUGGCAAAACAUUUACACGUACCUUGUAUGAACUUUUGAUUCUAGCUUUGCUGAAGCCUUUUGAUGGAGUACUGCUUUAACUCAAGUGGCCAAUCUAAAAGGCUGUGAUAUUCACAGUCGGUGAGUUUAAAAAACACAUUAAUUGGUAUAAUGUUUCCAUUGGUAUGUUUAGAACACUUCCAAAUGAGUUAAUUAAACAAAAUCAGCACUAACUCAACUGAUUUUUUUGAGCUAACAUGAGGGGAAAAUUUAAUAAUUAAUUGUUAUUUUGAUGUUAGACAGAGACGUCCUAUGCUUUAAUAGGAGUUAGCAAAUCUCUUGGGAUCCAUAGCGAAAGUAGAGCACAAUGGAAGAGAAAGAUCUAGAUAGGUGGUACGUAUUAGUUGAGAAUAUGUUUUAGUCAAUUGAGCACUUUUACUUUACAUCCUAUGCUUUUCUUGUAGUUGUUUAGCCUUUUAGAGAUUUAUGCAUCAAUUAAAAAUUUAAAGAAUCUUUAAUACUUAUUACAUUAUUUUUUGUUUUGUAUAAUAUUGGCUUGAGAUGAGUUUAUAUGGUGUAACAUGGUCAGUAAGUAUUCGUAUAGCUUACAUCCUGCUAUGGAUAGAAACUGAUGACAUUCAAAAUAAUUAUUGGUAUCUGGGGCAUGGGAGGAAUAGGGAAGACGGCAGUUGCACGAGCCAUUUUUUAUGAGCUCUCUAAUUAUUUUGAAGCUUCUUGUUUCCGUGGAGAUGUAAAAGAAUACAAGCAUAGAGUGCACUCGUUGCAAAUUACCCUUCUUUGUAAACUGUUUAGGGAGAAAGAUGAAUGUCAGUAAGGAAGUGCAUGAUAGCAAGUAGACUUCCUUUUAAGAAGGUUCCUAUUUGUGCCUGAUGACAUAGAUCACACACACCAAUUGGAUUACUUAGCAUGGGAUCUUGGUUGGUUUGGUAAACCCAGUAGAAUGCAUGAUUUGAUACAUGAUAUGGGUAAAUAUGUGGUGAAUAUGCAAAAGAUCCUGAACGUAGCAGUAUGGCGCAUUGAAGAUUUAGAAGAAGUGAUGAUCCACAAUAUGGUAAGUAGGCACAAUGCUAUAUUAUUCAAUUCUAAGUUGUUUAACAAUCCAAAGGUAUAUAAAACACAUUUCAAUGAUCCGUUCCUCUAGUUUCACGCUCUUGUCAUGAAUCAUUUUGGUUUACUUUAAUAGGAGAAGCAAAAGCAAAAUUCAUUGCCUGUUGCUUAUUUCAUUUUUUACAUUUUUUUAAUCCAUGAUUUGGACAAGUUUCUACUUGUUUUAUUCCAUUUCAUUCUUUGAAUUUACCUCACAUUUGUAUGACAUUUUGUACAUAAUCAUUCAUUCAUAUAUUCUAUCAUUGAAUUAGAACGAAAGUACAUGACAAAUUUAUAGGUCAUGUCUUAAUUAGGAAUUCCUUCUAUCAAUAACAACAACAACAACAAACCUAGUAUAUUCCCACAUGUGGGGUCUGGGGAGGGUAGUGUGUAUGCAAACCUUACCCCUACCUAGUGAAGGUAGAGAGGCAAAUUCCUUCUAUCACUUAAUAAAAAAACUUAAAAGACUGAGACUCUAAAGAACCUCUGAGAAAAUGUUCUUUAGAAAAUAGAAUUGUGCAAUUAAUUGCUUGCGAAAUAGUUCAUUUGUUGAGCAACAUUUUUCUUAAAAAAGGACCUAACCAAUACGGUACCUUAAAUUUUCCAAUGGCGCUCCUCGAGAAACUGCUCGUGCAAUAGUAAGGUUUAACCUUGAUAUUAUAGGGUAGAAAUAUAACUAAAAGAAAGUAAAAAGGAAUUUGGCAUCGCGAGGAGUGAAAGUACUUAUUUUUGUAGAGGGAUCCUUGUACUGCAUUUGAUAUUAUACUUUGUUAUCUUUUAAGCAGGGGGCCAAAGCAAUGGAGGCAAUCUGGAUUCGUUGUCCCCCAAAACCUAUUCUUUAGCAAAGGGCCAUGAAAAUUUUAUGAACUCAUCAUGGAUCAAACAGAUGUUACACAUAGAUAAUGUGAUGAUCCUUUUUGAUCCAUGAUGACUGACAGAUAAUGUGAUGGAUGUUGUGAGUUGCCUUGAUGGCUCUGUUGAUUAUUUGUCCAACAACUUGUGUUGGUUUGAUCGCUAUCCUUCGAAAUCACGUCCAUCUAAUUUUGAACCCAAUAGACUUGUUCAUCUUCGACUCACACGGAGUUCACUAUGUCAAUUAUGGAGAGGAACAAAGGAGAUUGCUUUGUUAAGUUAGUUUCAGCACCAAAACACAGUACGGUAUUAUGUCACACCAGGUCUUAAUUUAUGCAGUUCCAAAUAUGAGAAUGGCUACCACGACACACCAUGAGUAUAUUCUUAAACCUUCUUGGUUUAUAGUGUGUUGUGUCUUAUAGCUUGAAGGAAGUGUCUAUUAGCUGGAGCUAUUGGGGAGUGCUGAAAAAUCCAGUAAUCGAAGACCAAAUUCAAUAGCAGCUUCUGCACCCACUGAUUUUUGCACCUUCUAACAUCUCGAGCUUGAUAUUGUACUUUAAUCUCAAUUAGAUGGCUAUAACAGUCUGUCCCAUGCUGUGAUGUGAAUGAAUUAUGUAAAUUACUUUUUGCAAUUUGUUGAUACUUGAAGUUUUACCCAGGAGCCAAAUAUGUCUUCGUGCAACUUCAUACAUCCACUGUAUGCAGCAAAUCAAUAAAAUCCUUGAUUGUUUUUA